rnacentral:rRNA from 1 species
UCGAAACUGGCAGGCUAGAGUCUUGUAGAGGGGGGUAGAAUUCCAGGUGUAGCGGUGAAAUGCGUAGAGAUCUGGAGGAAUACCGGUGGCGAAGGCGGCCCCCUGGACAAAGACUGACGCUCAGGUGCGAAAGCGUGGGGAGCAAACAGGAUUAGAUACCCUGGUAGUCCACGCCGUAAACGAUGUCGAUUUGGAGGUUGUGCCCUUGAGGCGUGGCUUCCGGAGCUAACGCGUUAAAUCGACCGCCUGGGGAGUACGGCCGCAAGGUUAAAACUCAAAUGAAUUGACGGGGGCCCGCACAAGCGGUGGAGCAUGUGGUUUAAUUCGAUGCAACGCGAAGAACCUUACCUGGUCUUGACAUCCACAGAACUUUCCAGAGAUGGAUUGGUGCCUUCGGGAACUGUGAGACAGGUGCUGCAUGGCUGUCGUCAGCUCGUGUUGUGAAAUGUUGGGUUAAGUCCCGCAACGAGCGCAACCC